UGGCGAACGGGUGAGUAACACGUGGGCAACCUGCCCAAAAGAGGGGGAUAACACUUGGAAACAGGUGCUAAUACCGCAUAACCAUAGUUACCGCAUGGUAACUAUGUAAAAGGUGGCUAUGCUACCGCUUUUGGAUGGGCCCGCGGCGCAUUAGCUAGUUGGUGGGGUAAAGGCUUACCAAGGCAAUGAUGCGUAGCCGAACUGAGAGGUUGAUCGGCCACAUUGGGACUGAGACACGGCCCAAACUCCUACGGGAGGCAGCAG
rnacentral:rRNA from 1 species